rnacentral:sRNA from 2 species
CGGCCACUCUUUGGGGAGUAGCCUGCUGUUGUCGACAGACAAUAGCGCUCACGUCAACAUACUCGGUACUCCUACCGUGGCGUGCGCACCUUUCGGUUGGCGAGACCAGAGACAUUUCCGCGUUGGGGUUGGGCGCGCGGUGAUGUCUUUGAUCCUGCGCCCGGCCUGAAG